rnacentral:rRNA from 1 species
GAUGAACGCUGGCGGCGUGCCUAAUACAUGCAAGUCGAGCGAACGGACGAGAAGCUUGCUUCUCUGAUGUUAGCGGCGGACGGGUGAGUAACACGUGGAUAACCUACCUAUAAGACUGGGAUAACUUCGGGAAACCGGAGCUAAUACCGGAUAAUAUUUUGAACCGCAUGGUUCAAAAGUGAAAGACGGUCUUGCUGUCACUUAUAGAUGGAUCCGCGCUGCAUUAGCUAGUUGGUAAGGUAACGGCUUACCAAGGCAACGAUGCAUAGCCGACCUGAGAGGGGGCUCGGCCCCACGGGAAAUGAGAACCGUGCCAGGCCCCGACGGGAGGCAGGAGGAGGGAUUCUUCCGAAAGGGGCGAAACCCUGAGGGAGAAACGCCGGGUGAGUGAUGAAGGUCUGCGGAUCGUAAAACUCUGUUAUUAGGGAAAAACAUAUGUGAAAGUAACUGGGCACAUCUUGACGGAACCUAAUCAGAAAGCCACGGCUAACUACGG